UACGUAGGGUGCGAGCGUUGUCCGGAAUUAUUGGGCGUAAAGAGCUCGUAGGCGGUGUGUCGCGUCGGCCGUGAAAACCUGGGGCUCAACUCUGGGCGUGCGGUCGAUACGGGCAUCACUUGAGUUCGGCAGGGGAGACUGGAAUUCCUGGUGUAGCGGUGAAAUGCGCAGAUAUCAGGAGGAACACCGGUGGCGAAGGCGGCUCACUGGCCCGAUGCUGACGCUGAGGCACGAAAGCGUGGGGAGCAAACAGG
rnacentral:rRNA from 1 species